rnacentral:sRNA from 1 species
AUCUGCUGGGGACUGAUAAAAUGGAUAUGGGUAUCAAUACCUCCUGCGGUUACAAUCAUUCCCUCUCCUGCCAGUGCUUCUGUGGAAGCGCCUACUGUCAUUCCGGGAGUUACACCGUCCAUGAUGUCAGGAUUGCCGGCCUUUCCAAUGCCUGCGAUUUUCCCGUUUUUAAUUCCUAUAUCAGCUUUGACUAUUCCUGUGGAAUCCACAAUCAGGGCAUUGGUAAUGACUAAAUCCAAGUCCCCGUCUCUGCUGGUGGUCUUUACGGAUUGUCCCAUGCCGUCACG